rnacentral:rRNA from 2 species
UCGUAGUCAGAACUGCCUGUUAAAGGCUUGCGAACUUAUGUUCGUUCACUGUGAACAAAUCAGGACGCUUAGAGUAUGGCUACACGAAUGACUUAGCGCAGUAUGAUAUCUUUACCUUUGGUAAGAUCAAUGAGAGCCACCGGGGGUAGAUCUAUUUCAUGGCGAACGGUGGAAUGUUUUGACCCAUGAGAGAGAAACGAAGGCGAAAGCAUCUACCUAGAGGGUUUCUGUCGAUCAAGGGCGAGAGUAGGAGUAUCCAACCGGAUCAGAGACCCGGGUAGUUCCUACCUUAAACGAUGCCGACAGGGGCUUGUCCUUUUAUGAGGGCAGGACCUUAGGAGAAAUCAUAGUUCUUGGGCUCUGGGGGAACUACGACCGCAAGGCUGAAACUUGAAGGAAUUGACGGAAGGGCACACCAGGGGUGGAGCUUGUGGCUUAAUUUGAAUCAACACGGGGAAACUUACCAGGACCAGAUGUUUUUAAUGACUGACAGGCUUCGGGUCUUUCAGGAUAUGAUUUUUGGUGGUGCAUGGCCGUUGGUGGUGCGUGGGUUGACC